AUUGAACGCUGGCGGCAGGCCUAACACAUGCAAGUCGAACGAGUGGCGGACGGGUGAGUAAUGUCUUGGAAACUGCCUGCUGGAUGGGGAUAACUACUGGAAACGGUAGCUAAUACCGCAUACCAUCGGAUGUGCCCCGAUGGGAUUAGCUAGUAGGUGGGGUAAAGGCUCACCUAGGCGACGAUCCCUAGCUGGUCUGAGAGGAUGACCAGCCACACGUGAACGGAGACACGGUCCAGACUCCUACGGGAGGCAGCAGUGGGGAAGAUUGCACAAUGGGCGAAAGCCUGAUGCAGCCAUGUCGCGUGUAUGAAGAAGGCCUGCGGGUUGUAAAGUACUUGCAGCGGGGAGGCGUUACCCGCAGAAGAAGCACCGGCUAACUCCGUGCCAGCAGCCGCGGUAAUAC
rnacentral:rRNA from 1 species